rnacentral:lncRNA from 1 species
UCCUGCGUAAAAACACCCAAAUGUUCUCAAGCUCAAGUCUGCAUCUGGAAACUACACAAAGAUAUCAUGCCAUUCCUCAGCUGGAGAAAUUUCAGUAUGAAAUAAUGCUUGAAGUAGGUGGUGUAGGGGAUGCUGCUAGCCCAGUCAUAUGUAAGUUUCCUGAAGAAUUUGAUCUCCUCAUAUGAGGGAGAAGGUAAGGAUCAUUAGCCAGUUGAUGGACAUCAAAUCUAUCCUCUUUUCGGUAUGCUAAACAGCGUCUGAUAAAGGCCUUGGCUUCAUUGCUAACAACAGGCUUAACAGGGAACUGGACUUCUGUGGCUUUUAAUAUUGUAUUUUCUUGUAAGAUAUCUUGCUGUGAUUGAUUGUGGCCAAAUGGCUUUCUACCAUAAAGACACUGGAAAAAGAUUACUCCAACUGACCAUACAUCAACCUUAUUAGAAAUCUUUGGUGGCUCUUUGCCAACUACAAAACACUCUGGAGGCAAGUACCAGUAAGUUCCUGCUCCCUGUGAAGUUAAAUCCAUUCCAUCCACACCAUAGCUAUCAUCAUCCAUUAUUUUGGACAAGCCAAAAUCAGUAAUUUUUAUUUCUCCACAUGCUGUUCCAUCUACAAGAAGAAUAUUACCUGGUUUAAGAUCAUAGUGUAUAAUAGGGGGCUUGAUCUCAUUGAGAUACCGUAGUGCAUUUACUAUUUGCAUUACAAUGGACCUAGCUUCCUUCUCUGACAUCAAUUUAUGUUGCUUGAGAUAGAAAUCCAAGUCAUUGCCUUCACAGUAUUCUAACACCGUGCAAAACGUAUCUGUAUCCAAGGAGAAGUAGUCAUAUAAUUUAACUAUCCGGGGGUGAUCCAGUUCUUUGUGUAUUCUAUACUCUCUGCAGGCAUGUUUGUGGUAGUUUUCUUUCUUUUCAUCCCUCCAGCUUUUGUUAAGCUGGUGAAUCUUCACAGCAGCAUAUCUUUGUUCAUAAAGAUCAAAAGCCUUGUAUACUUCACUGAAGCCACCUCGGCCAAGUAAGUGGAGUAACAAAUACCGUUCAUUCAAUGUGGGGUGAUCUUUAAACUGUGAAUUAUCUUCAUUAUUUAUUCUUUUCAGUUCUCUGAUGUGAAGAUUCCUAACUCUUUCCAAACGUUCAAGUUCUGCUUGUAUUUCAGCUUCCUCCUUCUUGAGAUGUCCUAAUCGAAGUUUGAAAAUUUCUUCCUGUUCGUGAUACUCUGCUAGAGUCAAAAGCUGUGGCAAAUUGGGUCUAACAAAGGGAUCGUUUUCUGCCCCAUUCACAGCUUUAUUUUUCCUCUGCUUGGGUUCAGAAUUGGCAGAUGGUGCCUGAGAAUUAUUUGUAGUUGGUGGCUUUCUCUUGGCCAGGAGCUUUCUUUGCCUUUCAAUGUCUUCCCUUUGUUGAUUCACCCAUUCUUGCUGCUUUACAAGAUUCUGAAAUGCAAAGCCAUCUGUCCACUGUUCAGUAAAUGAAGCACCAUGACGAACUGUUGUAAAAUGCCCCAGGCGUAAUCUGUCUUGCAUGCUCUUCUCUCUGCUUGCCAGCUUUUCUUGUGUGCUCUUUUCAAUUAGAAGCUUCUUGCUCAUUGAAAUACAUUUGUUUAACCUUUCCUUAUAUUUUUCAAGUAGCUUUUGUUGUUCAUCUAUUUGUCUUCUAAGAUCACAGUUAGCCCUGAGUAAGUCAUCUAUACGACCUUCUUUCUUUUCCAAGUCUUGAUUUUUAUUACUUUCUAGUGCAGCUAAUUUCAGCAUUGUGAGAUCAGUCUGAGUAAUUUUAAAAGAUAACUGCUUUGGUUGCGUGGUAGGGUGGUCCCC